GGAAGGCACGUAGCAGUGACCCUUGACUCUGGGUAAGCGUCAUCCUGGUCAGGGGGUACCUGCUGUGGCCCUGGCAGGCAGCGUCUGCAGUCCUCCAGGCAGAGGUGGGGUAGCAGGCGAGGGGGCCAGCUGACAAGGGCCGCUCUGUGCUGGGCAGCUGUCCAUCCGGGACCCUGGGAGCAAAGGGCUCAAAGCCCCCUGGUUUCCAUGGCAAAGCCCCACCACCCCAGAGCUCCUUUAACAUCUGUUAAUUAAGUGCAAUAAAUUUUUCUAGAAAAUGGCAAAGAUGACUUCCAGGUGGAUAUUGCUGUCUUACAGUGUCGGGGACGCCAGAGCACCACUUGGUUUUAUUUUUCUAAGUGCAUGUGAUGUGACAGUGUGUGGGGCUCUGCGCCCUCCCCCGGGAGCUGGCAUUCCAGCAGGCCCCUCUCUCCUUCACCCGUGUCGGGGAAGGAAGCACGGCGCAACCCCUUCUCCCCAGCCGGCGGGGGGGCAGAUGCGGAGCGUAGCCCACUGGCCUUAUGUGCGUGUGUGCGUGCGAGUGUGCCACUGCUGGUGGGCCUGAGUGACGUGGCGGGAGGGAAGCCGGG
rnacentral:lncRNA from 1 species